GGACUACGGGGGUAUCUAAUCCCGUUUGCUACCCUAACUUUCGUCCCUCACCGUCGGACUCGUUCUAGCCAAGUGCCUUCGCCAUUGGUAGUCUGCCUAGGAUUAAAGGAUUUUACCCCUCCCCUAGGCAUACUCUUGGCCUCUCCCGAUCCCUAGAUUACCAGUAUUCAAGGCCAUUCGUUAGGUUAAGCCUAACAAUUUCACUGAGAACUUAAUAAUCCGGCUACGGACGCUUUAGACCCAAUAAAAACGGUCACCACUCGGGGCUCCGGUAUUACCGCGGCUGCUGGCACCGAUAUUGCCCACCCCUUUCUUGAGAAAUAUUUUACAUUUCUCCACAGAUAUAACCAUAAGCUAUAUCACUUAGGAUCCCCUUAUCACGCUUUCGCGCAUUGUAAAGUUCUCGUAACUGCUGCCCCCCGUAGG
rnacentral:rRNA from 1 species